rnacentral:rRNA from 1 species
UACCAGUCGCGGACGGGUGGAGUAAUACAUAGGCAACUGCCUUUAUGAGGGGAUAACCGAGGGAAACUUUGGCUAAUACCGCAUGAAGACUCUAAGGCGAUCUUAGAGGGAUAAAAGUUGGGAAACAACGCAUGAAGAUGGGCUUAUGGCGCAUUAGCUAGUUGGUGAGAUAGAAGCCCACCAAGGUAAUGAUGCGUAGCCGACCUGAGAGGGUGAACGGCCACAUUGGGACUGAGACACGGCCCAAACUCCUACGGGAGGCAGGCAGUAGGGAAUUUUCGGCAAUGGGGGGAACCCUGACCGAGCAACGCCCGCGUGAAGGAAGAAGGUUUUCGGAUUGUAAACCUCUGUUAUUAAGGGAAGAACGGAUUGGAUAGGGAAUGAUCUGAUAGUGACGGUACCUUAUUAGAAAGCCACGGCUAACUACGUGCCAGCCGCCGC